CAUCGUGUUUCGCUGGCCAGUCCGUCUCUGCAAACGCUGCCUUGCAGAGGAACACACACAUACGUAGGCUACACACGUUAAUCUCGGACGCCUCUCUCCGCUGGUAGAGAACGCUUGGUCGGACCGCGGAGGGGUCGGGAUAUUGCCUCGGUUCUGCCCGGGAAACGGUUCAUUUCUGCUGGACGCUGAGCGCUGUGAUCGGCCGGCGAUGCGGGAGCAGCUUCGGAACCACCAGACCCAAACAACAUGCUGGGAUCAUCCCAAGAUGGCCGAGCUCUACCAGUCUCUGGCCGACCUGAACAAUGUUCGAUUCUCGGCCUACCGGACAGCCAUGAAGCUCAGGCGCCUGCAGAAGGCUCUCUGCUGU